ACCAUUGCAUUAUUGAAGUGGUGGUGUGAACAGACAGUUUAAAAAAUGAUUGUCUAAUUUCUUAAUUAAGUCAUUUUUGGUGAUGUCUAGUGCUGUAGAUAGAAGACAAUCACAGACAGCAAGAAAAGGUCGGGGUCCACGCCUUGGUUCUACUUCCCCCACAUGGAUAGGGUAAUACUGGUAUCCAGAACCAGCUAAGAACAAUGUCUAAUUGCUGACACAAAAGCAACGUUUGGAGAAAAAAAAUGGGCUUCAAGGACAAUCUCCAUGCCAUAUUCUGCCUGGUGGGGAAUGCAGUUGGACCCACUGCCACACAGACAGAUGACAUCCACAAGCUCUACUCUGGAAAAGUACAGUGGAGAUCAACAACACUGAUGCUGAAGGCAGCCUAGUGCUCUCUGAUGGUGUGGUGUAUGCCAGCAAGGACCUCUGCUGACAUCAUCCUGGAUAUGGCCACUCUGACAGGGGCACAGGUGUGUGACGGGUGGCCUCUAGGGCCACAGCAGUGCAGCUUUGGCAACAACACUCGCCUACAUUACUUUGAUGCCCCACACUUCUUUAAUCACUUAUUGUCAUUUUGCAGCAAGAGAUUGAUAUAAUUUUGCAAUUAUAUAAUAUAUUUAGGCCUCUAAUAUUCAAUGUAUUUGUAUUGCUGUAAGAUUUAGUCCAAAAAAAUGUUCGGAAGUGAUGGUUUGGUAAUAAAUGUUAGCCCAAGAAAGUCAAGUCAUCACAUGUACGUUGUUGAAACACUCAUAAAAGCCAGUUGGGACUGUUUUACAUUCACUGCACUUCGAUCAGAGCAAAGGUUAACAGGGCUUGUGACAGACAUAAUACCUAGUUACGAAAAAGUUUUACUUUCCGUUGAUCUUUGCACUCACUGACAUUGUCUUGAGCUAAAGCUAAAACUCCCCACAUUCUCUAUGAGGAACUCAAAACAACUGUUAUCAAGGGUGUCUCACAUAAGUGGAUGGUGUUAAUCACACAAAAUUUUUAGGCCUACAAAAAUAGAUUUUCCUUAGAACAGUAAUUUUCUAAAUCAAAACACACCUCGUGCUGGUGAUGACGACACUACAUCCUGUGGUAUCAUGAUGUGCUGAUUCGGCUCAUUCUGAAAACACCACAUGAUGCACCACAUUGGAUUUUUUUGUGCUAGCUAGUGAAGUAGUUAAUUGCAAGUCAAAGGAUGUGGGUCUUAAACAGUUAAACCAAAGGGAACGUUUUUGGAUUUACAAACUACAGGCCACUAAAUACCCUGGUUUAAAUG